UACGGGAGGCAGCAGUGGGGAAUAUUGGACAAUGGGCGCAAGCCUGAUCCAGCCAUGCCGCGUGAGUGAAGAAGGCCCUAGGGUUGUAAAGCUCUUUCAACGGUGAAGAUAAUGACGGUAACCGUAGAAGAAGCCCCGGCUAANUUNGNGCCAGCAGCCGCGGUAAUACGAAGGGGGCUAGCGUUGUUCGGAUUUACUGGGCGUAAAGCGCACGUAGGCGGAUCGUUAAGUGAGGGGUGAAAUCCCAGGGCUCAACCCUGGAACUGCCUCUCAUACUGGCGAUCUUGAGUUCGAGAGAGGUGAGUGGAAUUCCGAGUGUAGAGGUGAAAUUCGUAGAUAUUCGGAGGAACACCAGUGGCGAAGGCGGCUCACUGGCUCGAUACUGACGCUGAGGUGCGAAAGCGUGGGGAGCAAACAG
rnacentral:rRNA from 1 species